GGGUGAUCUAACCAUGUCCAGGAUGAAGCUUGGGUAAAACCAAGUGGAGGUCCGAACCGACCGAUGUUGAAAAAUCGGCGGAUGAGGUGUGGUUAGGGGUGAAAUGCCAAUCGAACCCGGAGCUAGCUGGUUCUCCCCGAAAUGCGUUGAGGCGCAGCGGUUGAGGUUUAAACCUGGGGGUAAAGCACUGUUUCGGUGCGGGCUGCGAGAGCGGUACCAAAUCGAGACAAACUCUGAAUACCAGGGGAACACUCAACCAGUGAGACGGUGGGGGAUAAGCUUCAUCGUCAAGAGGGAAACAGCCCAGACCACCAGCUAAGGUCCCCAAAUCACUACUAAGUGAUAAAGGAGGUGGGAGUGCCCAGACAACCAGGAGGUUUGCCUAGAAGCAGCCAUCCUUAAAAGAGUGCGUAAUAGCUCACUGGUCAAGCGCUCCUGCGCCGAAAAUGAACGGGGCUAAGUAGUGUACCGAAGCUGUGGAAUAGGCAACUAUUGGUAGGGGAGCGUUCUGUAGUAGUGUGAAGCACUAGCGGCAAGCAGGUGUGGACGAAUCAGAAGUGAGAAUGUCGGCUUAAGUAGCGAAAAUGUGGGUGAGAAUCCCACACCCCGAAACCCUAAGGGUUCCUCCGGACGGCUCGUCCGCGGAGGGUUAGUCAGGACCUAAGGCGAGGCUGAAAAGCGUAGUCGAUGGACAACGGGUUAACAUUCCCGUACCGUUUGCAGUUGAUGAAGGGGGACGAAGUAGGUGUUCGUCAUCCGGAUGUUGGUUACCGGUGCAAGUGUUCGAGGUGUUGAGGUCUGGUGAAAACAGACUGAGCUGAGGCACGAGUCCGACCCGCUACGGCGGGGAAGUGAUAGUCAUCAGGCUUCCUAGAAAAGCCCUAUACAUCUUAAACUGUAAAUGCCUGUACCCGAAACCGACACAGGUGGGGUGGUUGAGAAUACUAAGGGGCGCGAGGUAACUCUCUCUAAGGAACUCGGCAAAAUGGCUCCGUAACUUCGGGAGAAGGAGUGCCUGCCGAAAGGUAGGUGGCACUGAAGAGGCCCAGGCGACUGUUUACCAAAAACACAGGUCUCCGCUAAGUCGCAAGACGAUGUAUGGGGGCUGACGCCUGCCCAGUGCCGGAAGGUUAAGGAAGUCGGUUAGGAGUAAUCUGAAGCUGAUGACCGAAGCCCCGGUGAACGGCGGCCGUAACUAUAACGGUCCUAAGGUAGCGAAAUUCCUUGUCGGGUAAGUUCCGACCCGCACGAAAGGCGUAACGAUCUGGGCGCUGUCUCGGAGAGAGACUCGGCGAAAUAGAAUUGUCUGUGAAGAUACGGACUACCUGCACCCGGACAGAAAGACCCUAUGAAGCUUUACUGUAGCCUGGAAUUGGGUUCGGGCUUCGCUUGCGCAGGAUAGGUGGGAGGCUGUGAAGAAUUCCUUGUGGGGGAUUCUGAGCCAUCGGUGAGAUACCACUCUGGCGAAGCUAGAAUUCUAACCUUUUCCCGUUAUCCGGGAAAGAGACAGUUUCAGGGGGGCAGUUUGACUGGGGCGGUCGCCUCCUAAAUGGUAACGGAGGCGCGCAAGGGUUCCCUCAGGCUGGUUGGAAAUCAGCCGUAGAGUGCAAAGGCAUAAGGGAGCUUGACUGCAAGACCUACAAGUCGAGCAGGGACGAAAGUCGGCCUUAGUGAUCCGACGGUGCUGCGUGGAAAGGCCGUCGCUCAACGGAUAAAAGUUACUCUAGGGAUAACAGGCUGAUCUCCCCCAAGAGUUCACAUCGACGGGGAGGUUUGGCACCUCGAUGUCGGCUCAUCGCAACCUGGGGCGGUAGUACGUCCCAAGGGUUGGGCUGUUCGCCCAUUAAAGCGGUACGUGAGCUGGGUUCAGAACGUCGUGAGACAGUUCGGUCCAUAUCCGGUGCAGGCGUAAGAGCAUUGAGAGGAGCCUUCCCUAGUACGAGAGGACCGGGAAGGACGCACCGCUGGUGUACCUGUUAUCGUGCCAACGGUAUACGCAGGGUAGCCAUGUGCGGAGCGGAUAACCGCUGAAAGCAUCUAAGUGGGAAGCCCACCUCAAGAUGAGUGCUCUCACUGGGUUAGCCAGGUAAGGUCACGGGAAGAUUACCCGUUAAUAGAUGUCAGGUGGAAGUCCAGUAAUGGAUGUAGCCGAGGCACACUAACAGACCGAGGGCUUGACCU
rnacentral:rRNA from 1 species